UACGUAGGGUGCGAGCGUUAAUCGGAAUUACUGGGCGUAAAGCGUGCGCAGGCGGUUUUGUAAGCCAGAUGUGAAAGCCCCGGGCUUAACCUGGGAAUGGCAUUUGGGACUGCAAGGCUUGAGUGCGGCAGAGGAGACUGGAAUUCCUGGUGUAGCAGUGAAAUGCGUAGAUAUCAGGAGGAAUACCGAUGGCGAAGGCAGGUCUCUGGGCUGACACUGACGCACAUGCACGAAAGCGUGGGGAGCAAACAGG
rnacentral:rRNA from 1 species